GAUGAACGCUAGCGGCAGGCCUAAUACAUGCAAGUCGAACGGGUGGUCGCAAGACCACUAGUGGCGCACGGGUGCGUAACGCGUAACCAACCUGCCCCGAUCUGGGGGAUAGCCCGCCGAAAGGCGGAUUAAUACCGCAUAUACCCGCAGCCUGGCAUCAGGCAACGGGGAAAGAUUUAUUGGAUCGGGAUGGGGUUGCGUGACAUUAGCUAGUUGGCGGGGUAAGGGCCCACCAAGGCGACGAUGUCUAGGGGACCUGAGAGGGUGAUCCCCACACUGGCACUGAGAUACGGGCCAGACUCCUACGGGAGGCAGCAGUAGGGAAUAUUGGGCAAUGGGCGAGAGCCUGACCCAGCCAUGCCGCGUGCCGGAUGAAGGCCUUCUGGGUGGUAAACGGCUUUUCUCAGGGAAGAAAAAGACCUUGCGAGGUACACUGACGGUACCUGAGGAAUAAGCACCGGCUAACUCCG
rnacentral:rRNA from 1 species